rnacentral:rRNA from 1 species
UACGAACCGAGCGAACGUUAUUCGGAAUCACUGGGCUUAAAGGGCGCGUAGGCGGGCGAUCAAGUCAGGGGUGAAAGCCCCCAGCUCAACUGGGGAAGUGCCUCUGAUACUGGUCAUCUCGAGGGAGGUAGGGGCGUGCGGAACUUCCGGUGGAGCGGUGAAAUGCGUAGAUAUCGGAAGGAACAUCGGUGGCGAAAGCGGCGCGCUGGACCUCUUCUGACGCUGAGGCGCGAAAGCCAGGGGAGCGAACGGG